UCUCCGUAGGUGAACCUGCGGAGGGAUCAUUACAGAGUUCAUGCCCUACCGAGUCGAUCUCCCACCGCGUGUUACGAUUCCUCGGUGGCUUUGCCGGGCCGUUAGGCUCCGGCCGGACUACCGGCCCCGCCCGGUAAGCGCCCGGCAAAGGACCCAAAACCCUGAAUAUUAGUGUCGUCUGUGUAUUAUCUAAUAGUUAAAACUUUCAACAACGGAUCCCUUGGUUCUG
rnacentral:misc_RNA from 1 species